GUGAGAUUCCCUUUGAAUAUUGCAGCAGUGAGUUGACGGUUGCCAAGGGAACAGGUGGGCUUCGGAAGAAGCAGAUGCCCUGAUUCCAGCCAUGGAGACCUGAGGUUGCCUCUGUAAUGCCUGGAAUUUUGGCAGCCAUCUUGGGAUCAUGAGAAAUGUCAGCUUGAAGGAAAUGUGCUGAGAAAGACAAAGGAGAAAGGCUGAGGGCCUAAAAGUGGCUGUGGGAAACUUCUUUGGUCUAUUCCCUCUCCUGAGAGUCCAUGAAAUGUGAGAUGGGGGUCACUCCUCAGCUGAGUGUGCCCCCCAGUGACUGCUGGGCUCCAGCUUUUCCUGCAUGCAGCAAGGCUUGGAAGCCCCUUAGCCCCGCCACACUCUACUCACCUUCAUCCAGUGCAGUUACACAGGGCCUGGUCCUGCCACAAGCUCAUUUGUUCCAGACACCACUGAGGCCCCUCAAUCUGAUCACGUCUAAAUCAGAGGCUGCCAAGGAGGCUCAGGACUCCAUGGACUUGAAUGGCAGGGGACAAGCUCAGGAUGGCCUGAGACCUGAUUUUAUUUUUUAUGGGACUAUGUAGUGUACAA